rnacentral:rRNA from 1 species
GUAGGGGGCAAGCGUUAUCCGGAUUUACUGGGUGUAAAGGGAGCGUAGACGGUUAAGCAAGUCUGGAGUGAAAGCCCGGGGCCCAACCCCGGGACUGCUUUGGAAACUGUGUAACUGGAGUACAGGAGGGGCAGGCGGAAUUCCUGGUGUAGCGGUGAAAUGCGUAGAUAUCAGGAGGAACACCGGCGGCGAAGGCGGCCUGCUGGACUGAGACUGACGUUGAGGCUCGAAAGCGUGGGGAGCAAA